rnacentral:misc_RNA from 1 species
UGAGCUUAUUUCUAAAACCCAGGGCUUUAGCCUCGAAAAUUUGUUCGCGAAGCAGGCGGUAUGUAUAACUAUAAUUUUCUUUUUUUUCAUUGUCAUUGUGGGUAUAGUUGUUCUUGAGGGCAGGGUGCACUGUGCGAUGGUGGUGUCUAGGAUUGAUUAGAUGAUUUUUCUCACUUGAGAAUAUGCACAUUGGCUGUUAAUUUUAAUUGUUUAUGGCUUGAGUCUUCCUAAUUGUUGCAUAGAUAAUUAUCUAUCAAUCUUAUUUUGUCAGCUUGGAUAGAGUCUUUCUUUUUUAGCAUAUGUAAAUAUGUUCUUUAUGUCUAAUAUUCCUCUUUAUCCCUCUAUCUGCC